CCUACGGGAGGCAGCAGUGGGGAAUAUUGGACAAUGGGGGGAACCCUGAUCCAGCCAUGCCGCGUGUGUGAAGAAGGCCCUCGGGUUGUAAAGCACUUUCAGUGAGGAAGAACGCCUGGUGGUUAAUACCCAUCAGGAAAGACAUCACUCACAGAAGAAGCACCGGCUAACUCCGUGCCAGCAGCCGCGGUAAUACGGAGGGUGCGAGCGUUAAUCGGAAUUACUGGGCGUAAAGCGCGCGUAGGUGGCUUGAUAAGCCGGUUGUGAAAGCCCCGGGCUCAACCUGGGAACGGCAUCCGGAACUGUCAAGCUAGAGUGCAGGAGAGGAAGGUAGAAUUCCCGGGGAAGCGGUGAAAUGCGUAGAGAUCGGGAGGAAUACCAGUGGCGAAGGCGGCCUUCUGGACUGACACUGACACUGAGGUGCGAAAGCGUGGGUAGCAAACAGGAUUAGAUACCCUGUAGUC
rnacentral:rRNA from 1 species